UACGUAGGUGGCAAGCGUUGUCCGGAAUUAUUGGGCGUAAAGCGCGCGCAAGCGGUCCUUUAAGUCUGAUGUGAAAGCCCACGGCUCAACCGUGGAGGGUCAUUGGAAACUGGGGGACUUGAGUACAGAAGAGAAGAGUGGAAUUCCACGUGUAGCGGUGAAAUGCGUAGAGAUGUGGAGGAACACCAGUGGCGAAGGCGACUCUUUGGUCUGUAACUGACGCUGAGGCGCGAAAGCGUGGGGAGCAAACAGG
rnacentral:rRNA from 1 species